CACGUAGGCACCAAGCGUUAUCCGGAUUUAUUGGGCGUAAAGAGCUCGUAGGCGGUUCGGUAAGUCGGGUGUGAAAACUCUGGGCUCAACCCAGAGAGGCCACCCGAUACUGCUGUGACUAGAGUGCGGUAGGGGAGCGGGGAAUUCCUGGUGUAGCGGUGAAAUGCGCAGAUAUCAGGAGGAACACCGAUGGCGAAGGCAGCUCGCUGGGACGGUACUGACGCUGAGACGCGAAAGCGUGGGGAGCAAACAGG
rnacentral:rRNA from 1 species